UCUGAAUAGGGCGCAUGAGUACGUGGUCGUAGACCCGAAACCAGGUGAUCUACCCAUGUCCAGGGUGAAGUUCAGGUAACACUGAAUGGAGGCCCGAACCCACGCACGUUGAAAAGUGCGGGGAUGAGGUGUGGGUAGGGGUGAAAUGCCAAUCGAACCUGGAGAUAGCUGGUUCUCUCCGAAAUAGCUUUAGGGCUAGCCUCAAGGUAAGAGUCUUGGAGGUAGAGCA
rnacentral:rRNA from 1 species